rnacentral:tRNA from 1 species
GCCCGCCUAGCUCAAUCGGAUAGAGCGUCAGACUCUUAUAGGCGGGAUCUGAAGGCUGCGAGUUCGACCCUCGCGGUGGGCU